UGCGUAGGUGGUGAGGUAAGUCGGAUGUGAAAGCUCCGAGCUCAACUCGGAAAUGGCAUUGGAAACUACCUUGCUCGAGGGUUUGAGGGGGGACUGGAAUACUUGGUGUAGCAGUGAAAUGCGUAGAUAUCAAGUAGAACACCAGUGGCGAAGGCGAGUCCCUGGAAAACUCCUGACACUGAGGCACGAAAGCUAGGGGAGGCAAACA
rnacentral:rRNA from 1 species